AUGGGGAGGGCGCCGUGCUGCGACAAGAACAACGUGAAGAAAGGGCCAUGGUCGCCGGAGGAGGACGCCAAGCUCAAGGAGUUCAUGGACAAGCACGGCACCGGCGGCAACUGGAUCGCCCUCCCGCAGAAAGCAGGGUUGAGAAGAUGUGGCAAAAGUUGUAGGCUUAGAUGGCUAAACUACCUGAGGCCUAACAUUAAGCAUGGGGAGUUCACUGAGCAUGAAGAUAGGGUCAUCUGCAGCAUGUAUGCAAGCAUUGGAAGCAGGUGGUCGAUCAUCGCGUCGCAGCUCCCCGGCCGGACUGACAAUGACAUCAAGAACUACUGGAACACCAAGCUGAAGAAGAAGCUCAUGGGCUCCACCACCAUGGCCGGUGCCGGCCCUCCGCCGCGCGCGCCACGGCAGAACCACCACCAACACCGGCCGGUCCUGCUGCCCUACUCAUCGUCGCCCCACUCCAACUACAGCAACUUCUUCCCCGGCGCCAGGGCCCUCCUCCAGCAGUCCGCGGAACCUCUAACCUUACAACCACAGGACCACUACAUGCUCGGUAGCUCAGGCUCCCUGAAUCCCAUGGCUAACAACAACGGCGCCUCCGCGGUACAGCUACAGAUGCUGCACGCAACGGCGGCCCACCGGCAGCUGCAGGUGAAGGAGGAAUGCGGCAGCGGCGGCGCCAUGAUCGCGUUCGGCUGCGGCGACCAGCAGAGCUGCAGCUCGUCGGACGCGACGCAGUACGCCGGCGGCCAUUACGUGCACGGCGGCCGCCACCACGGGAAGGAGAUGAGCUUCGACAACAACAACGGGUACAGCGCGUACGGAAUGUACGGCGCCGGCGCCGGCGCCGUGGAGCAGGAGCACAAGCUGUCGUUUCAGCUUCAGCACCAGCAGGAGCAGCAGCAGCAGGCGCAGCUGGACUACAGCUACGAGGAGAUCAAGCAGCUGCUCAUGACAGCGGCGGCGAGCGGUGGCGACGGGAGCGGCGGCCUGAUCCACGACCCGGAGCUGAUCGGCGCCCACGCGGCGGCCGCCGCCGGGAAGCUGACGAUGAUGUAA
rnacentral:rRNA from 1 species